rnacentral:sRNA from 1 species
ACCAGUUAUGCUUGAAGCUUUUUAUACAUAUGUUUUACCUCAAUAAAUAAUUCUUUAUGGCUACAACUUCGCAUUAUGCGAAUUAUUUAAUUAAAAAAAUUAGGAUAUUAUUAUGUCUAAAACAACUGGUAUCGUUAAGUGGUUUAACGAAGAGAAAGGUUUCGGCUUCAUUACUCAAGAUAACGGCGGCGCUGACGUAUUCGUUCACUUCCGUGCUAUCGCUUCUGAAGGUUUCAAAACUUUGAAAGAAGGCCAAAAGGUUUCUUUCACAGUAGAACAAGGCCAAAAAGGCCCACAAGCAGCUGACGUUGUUGGUGAGUAAUUCGAACUUUCGAAUUAAAUUUUAAA